rnacentral:lncRNA from 1 species
UAUCUCCCGUAUCACAUCCAAACCCCUAAUCUCAUCAUAUUUGGAGCCUCCUGGCAAAAUGCCAGAGCCACCAUAAUUCUCCAGCAAGGAACCCAAAGUACUCCGGCAAGCUAAAUAUAAAGUGUCCUCGGGGGUAAACUUCCUAAGCAGUUUACAAAACUCUAAGACGAUGGGGGCGGACUGAGCAUGCAAGUGCUUAGGUAAAGCGUUUUUAGUGGAGUUCAAAAAAUGUCUAAUUGAACUAUCAGCGCAAUCUUUGUUACCAUGGAGAGGAGAAAUGUAGAGCAUUACCAAAGCAGCGGGAGCGGAUGAUGACAUGAGAAUUUGGAUGUGAUCAAGUGCAGAUUCAGAUUCAACUUCAUCUUUAGGAGUCAUGGUAAAAAACUCAGUCAUUCUAGAUUUGAUGUGUUUUAAAGAAUGAGGUAGCGUUUCACCUUUGCAUAAGCGGCAAAUAAGGGAAACCAUGUCGUCAAUGACUUGCCAGGCUUGAGGAUGUCCCGUGCUUCGCAUGCGGCCAACCAGUUGCAGGCCGGCGUCGUUUUGGAUGCAACACUCAGCUAAGGACUGUUCCCACUGUAACUGCUUCCCCCGGUAAAUUAACCGUUGCUCGAUCAACGGUAUCCCCGUCAUCGCUUGGAUUCUUUCAUGGAUUGAUUUGACGGUGUCGUUCGAGUCGGCUUGGAUGACCAUCGUCUUCCCCUCAGACAUCAUGCGUAUAAAAAACUGGAGCCUUGGCCGAGGAGGAGGAGGAGCAGCGGCAGCGGCAGGAGGAGUAAUUUCUGAGAGUACGGCGUCGUUUUUUGUCAUCAAGUCUGACGACUGGUGGUGGUGGACGGCGUCAGGUUCGUCUUUCCGCAUUCUUACAGAAACAAGGUCGGAUGUUUCUGCGCCGUCGUCAUCGUCGCCGUCUAAGUUAGGGGCAAAAUCGUCCAACUUACGUUUCGGACGCGAGUGAACGGAGAAGUGAGAGUGAUCAAACGAUUCAACAGGAGACAUUGAAGAGUGGGGCCCCCGCCGCUUACGGUGGGGGUAAGAGCAUGUGAUCGUUAAAUGCCGCGGCAGCAGCUGAAGGAGAAGAUAACUAUUAAAUUGAAAACUCCAAAAAUAGAAAUUAGAAAAACAAGAACCCUAGCAGCUAAUAAGUAGUAAAGCAGUUUUCAUUUUUAUUUUUUCUUUUUUUUGGCUCGGUCAGUGAGUCUGUAUCAGUCUUUGUUUAUAUAGUAAAUUUGAGGGAAAAAAAAAGGAAAAAGAAAAUAGAUGGUAUUAUGAUUUGUUUGUUCUUGAUGAACACGAAGAGCGAUUGGGAGUGAAAUUGAUGAGAAUUUUUAGCUGUGAGACUUACACAUACCCCUUCACAACACCACAGCCGUCACCACCGAACACUGGCAUCUUACGCUAUUAUAAUUAUUUUAUUCCAAUUUUUAUAACUAAAUUAAACCCAAAAAAAAUAAAAAAAUAAAAAGUUUACAGCCCUCAGCCCUGCUUCUGUGUGUGCGCGCUCACAUCACAUGAGAUUCUCGUGACACUCCCACGCCAUGCAUUUUAACCACGUGUUUGAAAUCGCUUUUAUGGGGAAAAGAUUUUAUGGGAGAUUCCUUCUUUAUUAGCCGGAUCAUCAAUCGAUUUCAAUUAAACAAACAUUCUAAACCUGCUCCUUAAGUUUUCUUAAUUAAAGGAUGAGCGCUUAACUUCUAUUGAUUUUAUUAUUUUAGAAUAAAUUACUACCUUUUUUUUGAAUGAAUUUUAUAUUUUUAAGGCUAUAAGUCUAGUGUGACUCUUAAUUUAUUUUUAUUUUUUCUCUCUACAUGCAAACGGAAAAAAAAAAAAAAAAAACUGUAAUCUGUUACGGUUUUGAAGUAAAAUAUAAUAUGUUCAUAGUUGAAAUGUUCAAACCAUGAGGAAACUAAUGUCAAUAUCUUUCAUCUUCUAUGGAGUACUUUAUCAUAUGGUCUCGGAAUGAGUCCUAAAGGAAUUUAUAUUUGUAAAUUCUUUUUAUUUUUUGUAGCAAUCGAAUUAUUUUGGAUGUUAUCCGAUAGUGUGAAAAGGAUUAUCGUGUGACAUGAGAUCGACAGCUUUGCAAGUCAACUCACAACUCACAAACAAUUGGCCAAUUUCGAUUUGGAAACUUACUAUUCUAGUUCCCAAAUUGAGUCAUGAUGAUGGCUAUAUAUUAAUACGAUCAUCGAUCGAUGUUGAUAAAAUCUUGAUUGAUGAUUUCGGCCCCGUAAUUUAUACAGCUGAGUCAGUCAACUGACAAUGAAUGAAAUUGUCGAUGGAUGAUUGACGACCCCUAUAUUAUAUGCAUUGCUUUUAAUUUUUAUGUAUGGGAAAAUCCAAAUCCAACCACGCUCGUGACGCGUGCCGCGUGCGAAUAUUUCGGUUCAUUUUCCGUAAAUAUCCGCCGACUUUUGUACAUAUACAUAGUAGUAAUUAAUAAAGGUGGGAGAAAAUUACGAUUAAAACUUUUAAUCGGUUGUUUACACCACGGAUCGAUUAGAUUAAUUAAUUGGAUUUUUCAGAUAUGCGAUUUAUAUUAAUACUUGCUUAUCCGUCCAGUUGGUUUUCGGUGAGUGACUAUCCUUCAUUGACAUUCCAUUCCAUUCCAUGUAAGUACUCAAAACAACAAACAAAACUGUCAAUUUUUGAAUAGAGGAGACAAAUGGGCCGGUAUGUGAUUAGCUCGGCCCUUAUCUGGGGCCCUACGUACUUAGGCCCGCAACCUAAGAAUUUAAAACACAAGGAGAAGAUGAAGCAGAAGAUGGCGGCUUUUCAUUUCAGUUGUGAUUUUCUGAGAGUGGUAUUUAAGCAGCACUACAGUGAAUCAUUGAUGGCGAAAUUGGAGCGGCGUCACUCACCAAGAUAUAACGGUAUAUAAAGCCAAUAUAUAUAUAUAUAUAUAUAGAUCAUCAUCAUCGUUAUUUGUGCUUUGUUUAUUAUUAUCAACAGAAACAAACAACUGUAAAAAUUUAAUUCAAAAACUUAAAUUUACUAGCUAUAUUACUUACUAAGUAGCAACGACGGGAGAAUAUUAUUACGGUGAAACCAAGCUUUCAACAAAGGUGGUAACAGAAAACCAUCUUGGGGCUCUUUGGAUUUUGAAAUCCGUAGCAAUCUCAUUCUCAAAAUCAUACAAAAUCAACUCACCAUCCCCCUUCUCAAUGAGUAGAAAAUUCUUGCCAUUGCCAUUACUCAAAUUAAUCAUCUCACAGACAGGCUUCAAGUGCACAAAAGCAUAAUUAUCAAAAUUAAUCAAAGCUCGACGUCCGAUCACAAACAUCCUCGUCCAAGACUCCCUCGCACCAAAAUCCUUCAUCGUCCAAAUCUCAACUCUAUCCUCUCUCCACAUAUGAAACAUGGCAAAUUCUCCGCGAAACACACCCACUUCAAUCUGACACUUGUCAUGAGAAUCCUUGUAUUCCGGGCGGUGAAUCUCCUUGAACUCUUCUCUGUUCAUGUCAAAAGCAACAACGAGAACAGUCAUCCCUCUUCCGAGCCCUCGCGACGCUUUCCAUAUAAGACAUUCAUUGAAGCACACCGCAGCUCGAGAGCUGAUAUGAUAUGGGAUGCCUCCAUUAAUCUUCUUCCAUUUAUCGCUAGCCAGAGAAUAAACCCUAGCUUCGCAUUCAUAGGAGUCGAUGUCAACAAAAGGCUUGUCAUAAAGGUAUAUGGAUCUUAUCACCUUGUAAUCAUCCUCUGCUUGAUGGUAACCAAACCCCAAUGAAGUGAAACAUGUAGUUUCGAUUGUGGGAACAUCAAAUUCUGGCACUGGAAGCUUUUUGUAGUUUUUUGUUGAGGGAUUGAAAAGAAAUAUAUCUUCAUUGCAGCUUUGAUCGGAGAUGCAAAGCAGGCCAUUGCAAGAACCUGAAAUCUCAACUUUUUCGAGAGACAAGGCGAAGGGUACUUGGAGUUUUCGAGCUCUGAUUAAUUUUUUAUCAUUGAUUAUCUCGACACCAAAAAGCUUGAAUUCAUUCUUCAGGAUGAGUUUUGGGUCGGACUGAUGAAUUGCUCUGUUGACAUGUUUCUUAAUGAAUAUUUUAUUGUGAACAAGUGCAUACAUGGAUUUUGACACACAUUUGAAUCGAAUAAGAGACUUGACGGGGAGUCUAGUGAAGAUAUCGGUGAUUAUAUCGGUAGGUAAAUUAGCUGAGACAUGAGGGAAAGUUGAAAGAUUGGUGGUUAUAGCACUCGACAGGCUACCCAUUUCGGCGUUUCUUUAAUUUUGCUGAGCCAUUUCUCAUCGGAAACUAUAUACAUAUAUACAGGCAAUUAGAGUUUUGGGCUGUACAAUACUAAUGAGAUAUGUACAGGUGGCUUUUGGUGUAUAUUUAAUUGAAAAUCUGGGAUAUAUGAAGUGAAAUGAAGAAUAUCUAGAAAGAUUUGGUUACGGUGAAUCCAAGAUUUAAAGUCAUUAAUGAGGAUAGUGACAGUUAUCCACUAGAAAGCAAUGAUUGGGAGUCCCUCCUUUCCACACCCUUUUAAGUUUUACCAUUUUAACAACCUUUUUUUGUUUACUUAGUCAGUUUUACAAAUCUUGAUUUUAAUGAUAACCAAUAAUGUGGUAAGGAUAAUAUGGAAAAAUCACUUUUGAAACUCAUUAGUUAUUGAAAAUAAAAAAAUCAUUCAAUUGAGAUCAAGCGCAAAGAACUUACAGACAUAUUCAUCAAAUGUGAAAAAUAUUAGCUUAAAUAAUGUUUCAUUUUUAUAAUCCUCGAAAAGUUAGUUUGUUGGAUUUAUUCAUGGUCAUGCAUUUGAAAGCUCAAACUUAUUAUGAUCAUGACAUUCAAAUUAAUAUUUAAUCAUGGUCAUACUUCCUCCCAUUUCCUAGCUUCUAUGGAUUACUACAACUAUAGCACCAGCAAAGACUUGGUAAAAAAUAAAGACCAUAAUUUUUUUAACAAAUCAAGACAACAGAGUUUUCACCAGUGUCAUCACAAACAUCCUAGUCGAAGCCUUCUCAUUUUCCUAUCAUAUCUCUAACCAAAUAAGGGAUACUAAUAUCAGUAGUAAUUCUGCCUCACGAGUCAACAAUUUACAUCAAACACAUUGGAUUGAAUUUUUAUUACAAAAACCCUUCAAGACACCAAUAUAUGACUUUCUACACCCUUUACUAAAACAUGACUACCACCCAUCACCAAGUGAAAUAAGUAAAAAGUACUGCAUCAUCGGCCAUAAACAUUUUCUUUUACAUGCACAUGUACAGAGAUGUUAAUCUGUAGCCAUGCCAACUAUAGAGAACCAAUUUAGUAAUAAUUCUGAUUUCUUCAAUUGACUAUAUACACAAAACAUGUUGGAUUGACUUAAUAUAACACUACCAGCCUCGAGGUUUGAUCUAAUGAGACGUACCCUCUGUUAACAACACAUUCUAAAGUUUCUAGUAGCUGAUACAGAGAUUCAAAUUUACCCUCACUCUUCAAAACCCUGAUCACCCUUCCCUCCUCACCUCUAUUCUAAUCUGUGCUGCCCCCAUAAUUUUUGUUCACCAUCCAUCUUUACCACAACAUCUAUAAUCAGAGUCUACAUUAAUCGUAACAAUUAGUUCGGUCAAGCCUAUUAAUCACAACAGCGAUUACCCACCGUGCCCCUUCCACCAUUACCCACUGUCAGAUCUCCAUUAACAAGCCCCCCUUCCACCACCUUCGCCCUUCUUCCCUACCCCCAACUUAUUUCACUCCCAAAAAAGAAGAUAAAGAAGAAGAAGAAGAAAAUAGAAAAAUACCAAUAUUUUUUACUCUUAUCCUCUCUAAUCUUGUAACCCACAGCACGAUUAAUACUUAAUUAAAAUUGGUGGCCAUGGCUAACUUAGUUGAUGCUGAUUGAUAUGAAGAGAGAGAUAACUAGUUAUGAACAUGAUCAAAGAGUUCCAUGAUUUAAGGUCCAAUUAAGAUAAUGGGGGCAAUGAGGUUGCUUCGGUGAUGCGGUGACAUGUCAUUCUAAAUGAUGAGAUAUUUAUCAAAACCUUAGAAAGGAAAAGAAAAAGAAUUCUGCACACAGAUAAAGGUUGAAAAAUUCUAUUAGCGGCCACGUGGCAGCACAGAGCUGUUAAAAAAUAAUAAUAACAAUAACAAUAAUAUUUCAGAGGGGUAUUUGAUUAUGAUGUCAUGAGUUUCUGCUGCCUCACAAAUGGCCAAUUAACAGUAAGGGGCAACUUAUAAGCCUCUUAAAAAAAGGGCAACUUAUAAGAAUCUUAAAGUCAGAGUUAAGUGCAAUUUCUAGAACAUAGGGCACUAUGAGUAACUAGGAUGAAAUAUCAGCCAAAGAGCUAUAUAUGUAAAAUCACAGCAGGAGCGCUGUGUAAAACUACCCAACAUAUGCACGCAUACUGACCCAAACCAUCCUACCUAGUAUAUCAACAUGUCUUCAACCAUGUCAUUUAUUAUGUUGUCGUAUCUAUUAGAGUUUAAAACUAUUUGCCAAAUAAAUAAUAGUCCAGAUUCAAUGUGCAUAUAAUAUUCAAAUAUCCAUACAGGUUACAAUGCAGAAUAGGGUAACUAUAAGUCCGGAAAAGGGCAAACAGACAACAUUAAUGGAACCCAGUUAAAAAAUGCAUGCAUCAAAAGCCAGCGGAAACUUACCAUGAUUAGGAUAGAACCUUCUACGGUCAUUAGGGCAUGGCACAAAAAGAGCAUUUUGUGGAUUAAAUAAAGCUUGGCAUACCAAGAAAAACCAUUCCCUUAAAACACCGGGACCAGUAGCUUCCUCAUUUUUGAAUUCCAUAAAUAAACCACCACGCAGUGCCUCUGGUUCCGCACGUGCUAUUUACUCAAAUGAUUCUGCCAACAACUGAGACCUAUCAAUAAGCAUCUCAUGCAGCUCCUCAUAGUCUUCCUUUACAUCGGGAAACAUCAUCAUGACCAGAUACUUCCUGGAAUCAAAAGUAGUCACGCCCUUAUGCUCAAGAAGCCACCUAUUAUCAUCACUUCUCCUUGCAUAUCUAAGAAUCAGAUCACCCAAUGGCGAUAUUCUAUUCCUCAGAAGUUUCCAGAACUCUUCUUCAGCGCCCUGAAAGAGUUUAGAUGUGGCAUGUAAUUCUCUCAAAAUUGUCAGAUACUGCGACCAUCCAGAAUAAUUAAUUUCACCUUCCCCAUUUGCUCUCGCAAUCACGCGUUCCUGCACUCUAACGAGGCAUUUAUCCAUUUUUAUCAACAAAUCACAGAACAUUCCAUAAAUAGAAUCCAGCUGAUCCCCAUGCAACCGAUCAUGUUCCUGCUGCGGCAAAGGAAUUGUAAUCGGAAUGGAAAACCCCACUUGACCCAAAAUCGCCCUGCGGAGAGGGUGCAAGAACGCGGUAAAAUCACGAACAUCACUGACCAAUGGCCCCACGCUCAGCACCAUCUCCAUACUGGAAUUCAAAUCCCUAGAUAUCCUAGCAGCCAACUCACGAACAAAAGGAAAUAUCUCCCGUAUCACAUCCAAACCCCUAAUCUCAUCAUAUUUGGAGCCUCCUGGCAAAAUGCCAGAGCCACCAUAAUUCUCCAGCAAGGAACCCAAAGUACUCCGGCAAGCUAAAUAUAAAGUGUCCUCGGGGGUAAACUUCCUAAGCAGUUUACAAAACUCUAAGACGAUGGGGGCGGACUGAGCAUGCAAGUGCUUAGGUAAAGCGUUUUUAGUGGAGUUCAAAAAAUGUCUAAUUGAACUAUCAGCGCAAUCUUUGUUACCAUGGAGAGGAGAAAUGUAGAGCAUUACCAAAGCAGCGGGAGCGGAUGAUGACAUGAGAAUUUGGAUGUGAUCAAGUGCAGAUUCA